rnacentral:rRNA from 1 species
CCUACGGGGGGCAGCAGUGAGGAAUAUUGGUCAAUGGGCGGGAGCCUGAACCAGCCAAGUCGCGUGAGGGAAGACGGUCCUAUGGAUUGUAAACCUCUUUAGGCGGGGAGCAAUGCCGGGCACGCGUGCCCGGAGGGAGAGUACCCGCAGAAUAAGCAUCGGCUAACUCCGUGCCAGCAGCCGCGGUAAUACGGAGGAUGCGAGCGUUAUCCGGAUUGAUUGGGUUUAAAGGGUGCGUAGGCGGAUUUUUAAGUCAGCGGUAAAAUGUCCGGGCUCAACCCGGGCCGGCCGUUGAAACUGGGGAUCUUGAGUGGGCGAGAAGUAUGCGGAAUGCGUGGUGUAGCGGUGAAAUGCAUAGAUAUCACGCAGAACUCCGAUUGCGAAGGCAGCUUACUAAACUGUGACUGACAUUGAUGCUCGAAAGUGUGGGUAUCGAACAGGAUUAGAUACCCCUGUAGUC